rnacentral:lncRNA from 1 species
CUAGAGAUGAUUGGUUUUGCAUGUAUUCACUAUUUAAUACCCAUUAAGCCCACAACAGAUAAAAUGCAACACCCUCACUGAAAAUCCUUGAAACCAGAACUCCAGGCCUCAGUUAUAUAGCUAACAAAAGGUGGAAUCUGAACUCUUAAAUGUAAACAUCGCUGGGAUAUUAAUAAUUCAUGCCUUGCCAGAAACAACUAAAUAGGAAACUUUCCUGAGGGGGUGGUUAGAAAUAUCACUCAAUUUCACCUGUGGCAUAGAGAAGAGAAUUGAAAGAUUUUUAUUUAUAGUAGUAUUGAUUCAAAAUAUUUUCUAUUAAUAAUUGAUGGGUAAGACAAUGAUGAGUUUGCAAACAAAGCAGAUGGAAUCAGGUUAGAACUGGAGAGUGUCUCAUAAACCCUCUUUCUCUACAGAGAGAAAACUGGAAACAUGAAUAUUUCAGGGACACGGUGAGUAAGUUGUGAGUCAGGACUAACACUUGGAUGUCUUGACUCCUCAGAUCAGCCCCCAUCAUCCCACCACCUCUCAUGGGCACAAAGAAACCAGAUGGCAUACGAUUUGGUUCAUGAGCAUCAGGAUUCAAGGGGAAAGGACAAAGAAGAUGACUGGUCAGCCUUCCUCCCUUUCCACAGCCCUUUUAUUUGUGCCCUUCAUCCACUCCAGAAAACAAAGCAUCCAAAUACAGCCCGCUGA